rnacentral:tmRNA from 1 species
GGGGACGAAUUAUGGUUUCGACUGCAAGUGUAGACGUAUAGCUGCAUGUCGAGUGCGCUGUCAUCUCGUAAAACGUGGCAGAAAAAAUUUAACUGCAAACAAUAAUUUUGCACUAGCAGCCUAAGAACUGCUACGUCUCUAAGAUAUUCGCUCCUCUGGAAUACUUAGAGGCGUCAAAUACAGAGGAUAGCCCGAUAUUCAACUCCCGGAGUGGCGGGUGAAACAACAGGGGGCGAGACUUUCAAUGACGGUUCCUGUUCCUGGCCUGAAAGUUGGAAAUAAAUGAGCAGGAUAAACAUGUAGACGCUGUAUGGCUAUUUUGUAGGACGCGGGUUCGACUCCCGCCGUCUCCACAG